CUGACAGGCUGUUUGGAGGCAUCUGAGCUACUGCCAUAAUUGCUUUUAACAAUGCACGUUAAUUUGCUUCGUGCAAACUGAGUGUCAUCAUUAUUUUAACUAUUAAGAAAAUGUUUGAUUAGAUUCAUCCACUUACAUCUGUGAAUAAAGAAAACUACAACAGUUCUGACAUUUCCAGCAGCACCUGGAUAUCAACUGCUCCCUAACUGCCUUCUAACCUGAGAUGCAGUUUAAGUCUGGAUUCAUAAAGCUAGAGGAAACCUUGGGGGGAAACUGGGUUUAAACCCUUACCUGACCAAGGCAGGUCAGAGGGGGCAGAAAGGAGUGGUGGCUUGCCCCAGGGCGCACCACUGAGUGAUCAAGA
rnacentral:lncRNA from 1 species